rnacentral:rRNA from 1 species
GGAUUAGGCAUGCAAGUCGAACGAGAAAGGCUCCUUCGGGGGCUGAGUAGAGUGGCGAACGGGACAGUAACGCGUGGGAAACCUACCCUGCAGUGGGGGAUAACACUUCCAACGAGGUGCUAAUACCGCAUACGACCUCCGGUCGCAUGACCGGGGGAUGAAAGGUGGCCUCUGCUUACAAGCUGCCUCUGAUGGAUGGUCCCGCGUCCGAUUAGCUAGUUGGUAGGGUAACGGCCUACCAAGGCUGCGAUCGGUAGCCGACCUGAGAGGGUGACCGGCCUCACUGGGACUGAGAUACGGCCCAGACUCCUACGGGAGGCAGCAGUCGAGAAGCUUCGGCAAUGGGCGAAAGCCUGACCGAGCGACGCCGCGUGAGCGAUGAAGGCCCUAGGGGUUGUAAAGCUCUGUCAGAUCGGGAAGAAAUGCCGGGGGCGAACAACCCCCGGAGUUGACGGUACCGUCAGAGGAAGCACCGGCUAACUCCGUGCCAGCAGCCGCGGUAAUACGGAGGGUGCGAGCGUUGUUCGGAUUCACUGGGUAUAAAGGGUGCGUAGGCGGCCCGGUAAGUCAGAGGUGAAAGCUGUCGGCUCAACCGACAAACUGCCUUUGAGACUGCCAGGCUUGAGUCCGGGAGAGGAAGGUGGAAUUCCUGGUGUAGCGGUGAAAUGCGUAAAUAUCAGGAGGAACACCGGUGGCGAAGGCGGCCUUCUGGCCCGGUACUGACGCUGAGGAACGAAAGCCAGG